rnacentral:rRNA from 1 species
UACGAAGGGGGCUAGCGUUGCUCGGAAUCACUGGGCGUAGAGCGCACGUAGGCGGAUUGUUAAGUCGGGGGUGAAAUCCUGGAGCUCAACUCCAGAACUGCCUUCGAUACUGGCGAUCUUGAGUCCGGGAGAGGUGAGUGGAACUCCGAGUGUAGAGGUGAAAUUCGUAGAUAUUCGGAAGAACACCAGUGGCGAAGGCGGCUCACUGGCCCGGUACUGACGCUGAGGUGCGAAAGCGUGGGGAGCAAACAGG